UAAGGCGUGAAAGCGUGGGGAGCAAACGGGAUUAGAUACCCCCGGUAGUCCACGCCNUAAACGAUGAACACUAGUCGUCGGGAUGCUUGUCAUCUCGGUGAUGCACUUAACAGAUUAAGUGUUCCGCCUGGGGAGUACGGUCGCAAGAUUAAAACUCAAAGGAAUAGACGGGGACCCGCACAAGUGGUGGAGCAUGUGGUUUAAUUCGAAGAUACGCGAAGAACCUUACCUAGCCUUGACAUUGAUAGAACACACCAGAGAUGGAGUGGUGCCCUUCGGGGAACUUGAAAACAGGUGCUGCACGGCUGUCGUCAGCUCGUGUUGUGAGAUGUUGGGUUAAGUCCCGCAACGAGCGCAACCCUCGUCCUUAGUUGCCAGCAGGUUAAGCUGGGCACUCUAAGGAGACUGCCUUCGCAAGAAGGAGGAAGGUGAGGACGACGUCAAGUCAUCAUGGCCCUUAUGGCUAGGGCUACACACGUGCUACAAUGGGGCGUACAGAGUGUUGCGAUACCGCGAGGUGGAGCUAAUCACUUAAAGCGUCUCUCAGUUCGGAUUGGAGUCUGCAACUCGACUCCAUGAAGCUGGAAUCACUAGUAAUCGUAGAUCAGCAAUGCUACGGUGAAUACGUUCCCGGGUC
rnacentral:rRNA from 1 species